UCCGUAGGGUCCGAGCGUUUGUCCGGAAUUACUGGGCGUAAAGAGCUCGGUAGGUGGUUUGUCGUCGUUGUUCGUGAAAACUCACAGCUUAACUGUGGGCGUGCGGGCGAUACGGGCAGACUGGAGUACUGCAGGGGAGACUGGAAUCCUGGUGUAGCGGUGGAAUGCGCAGAUAUCAGGAGGAACACCGGUGGCGGAAGGCGGGGUCUCUGGGCA
rnacentral:rRNA from 1 species